GUACGUUUGUGUGUGAAUGGUAUUCAGCACCAAGGACAGGUACGUUUGUGUGUGAAUAGAGUUCAGCACUAAGGACAGGUACGUUUGUGU
rnacentral:pre_miRNA from 1 species